AUAAAAUACCUUCCUCUGCUAAAGUUACAUUUAAUGUUGUAUUAUAUUAUAUUCUUUUAACAUUGGCUACAAGAUAAGAAAAUCAACUUCUGGGAAGAUGGCGUGGUGAGCAGAGGGAAUUCAGCCUCUUUGAGACUGGGAGACCAGACUCUGGAGAACGGCAAUUGAAGGAAGAGAAGAAAUCCCUGAGAAGGGAGAAGUGGAGCCCACGAGGGGAGCAAGCCUGAGACCAUCUCCAUUCUCAUGUAGCUGCAUAUAUCUUCAUUAUGCCAGAGCAAGCACGCAGUACUUUGCUUCUCCGUGGUCUUGGCACGUUCAUCAGCUUUGGACAAGUGGAAAUGGGUAACUCCAAAAGCCACAACACACCGUGAACAACAAAAACAAUCAGCUCAUUCCUGUGCUGCCUUCUCAGAGUCCUCUGCCCUUUCUCCUUGGCAUGGGUCUAGAACAUUUGCUUUUGAAUUUGUGUGGUAGAGUGGCAAAAUUUUAUUGUGUUAAACUAUAGAUUUUUUUGAUAUUUACCUUAUAAUACCCUACUGAAUAUCCAAUUAUUGUCAUUUUUAUAUAGUUAAUUUAUGUUAGCAAGAUACAAAUAUCCA
rnacentral:lncRNA from 1 species